GGAGAGGUGCUGGAGUGGCCUAACAGGCGCGUCUGGAAAGCGCGUAGGCAGCAAUGCCUCGCGGGUUCGAAUCCCGCCCUCUCCGCCA
rnacentral:tRNA from 1 species